rnacentral:rRNA from 1 species
AGUGAACGCUGGCGGUAGGCCUAACACAUGCAAGUCGAACGGCAGCACAGUAAGAGCUUGCUCUUACGGGUGGCGAGUGGCGGACGGGUGAGGAAUACAUCGGAAUCUACUUUUUCGUGGGGGAUAACGUAGGGAAACUUACGCUAAUACCGCAUACGACCUACGGGUGAAAGCAGGGGAUCUUCGGACCUUGCGCGAUUGAAUGAGCCGAUGUCGGAUUAGCUAGUUGGCGGGGUAAAGGCCCACCAAGGCGACGAUCCGUAGCUGGUCUGAGAGGAGGAUCAGAUACACUGGAACGGAGACACGGUCCAGACUCCUACGGGAGGCAGCAGUGGGGAAUAGUGGACAAUGGGCGCAAUCCUGAUCCAGCCAUACCGCGUCGGUGAAGAAGGCCUUCGGGUUGUAAAGCCCUUCUGUUUGGAAAGAAAAGUAGCAGUUCAAUACUCCGCUGAUCUGACGGUACCCAAAGAAUAAGCACCGGCUAACUUCGUG